rnacentral:rRNA from 1 species
GAUGAACGCUGGCGGCGUGCCUAAUACAUGCAAGUCGAACGAAACUUCUUUAUCACCGAGUGCUUGCACUCACCGAUAAAGAGUUGAGUGGCGAACGGGUGAGUAACACGUGGGCAACCUGCCCAAAAGAGGGGGAUAACACUUGGAAACAGGUGCUAAUACCGCAUAACCAUAGUUACCGCAUGGUAACUAUGUAAAAGGUGGCUAUACUACCGCUUUUGGAUGGGCCCGCGGCGCAUUAGCUAGUUGGUAGGGUAAAGGCUUACCAAGGCAAUGAUGCGUAGCCGAAUUGAGAGGUUGAUCGGCCACAUUGGGACUGAGACACGGCCCAAACUCCUACGGGAGGCAGCAGUAGGGAAUCUUCCACAAUGGGCGAAAGCCUGAUGGAGCAACGCCGCGUGGGUGAAGAAGGUCUUCGGAUCGUAAAACCCUGUUGUUAGAGAAGAAAGUGCGUGAGAGUAACUGUUCACGUUUCGACGGUAUCUAACCAGAAAGUCACGGCUAACUACGUG